GGAAGAUUGGCAGAGAGGCUUAUUGCACCAGUUUGCUAAAUUGGAGUACGAAAGUACCGCAGGUUCGAAUCCUGCAUCUUCCU
rnacentral:tRNA from 1 species